rnacentral:rRNA from 1 species
AUUGAACGCUGGCGGCAGGCCUAACACAUGCAAGUCGAACGAGUGGCGGACGGGUGAGUAAUGUCUGGGAAACUGCCUGCUGGAGGGGGAUAACUACUGGAAACGGUAGCUACUACCGCAUACCCUCAGAUGCGCCCAGUUGGGAUUUGCUAGUUGGUGGGGUAACGGCUCACCAGUGCGAAGAUCCCUAGCUGGUGUGAGAGGAUGACCAGCCACACUGCACAUGAGAAACGGUCCAGACGCCUAGGGGAGGCAGGAGUGGGGAAUAUUGCACAAUGGGAGCAAGCCGGAUGCCGCCAUGCCGCGUGGAUGAAGAAGGCCGUCGGGUUGUAAAGUACUUUCAGCUGGGAGGCGUUACCCGGAGAAGAAGCACCGGCUAACUCCGUGCCAGCAGCCGCGGUAAUAC